rnacentral:misc_RNA from 1 species
GAAAAAUGUUUCAGCUUUUCCAGUCUGCCCAUGGUUGCACAGAUACUGAAUUAUAAGGUUAUAUGCAGUAGCCUCCAUUUCCAAAGUACUUUGUGGUCUCAAUAUGAUUUCUUUUUCUACAAGCUUGUCAAGCAACUUGACUGCCUUAUCAUACAUUCCGGCUUUGCAACAGUUCUCAAUCAAAAUACCAUAAUGCCCAGCCUCAGUUGGAAUGCUUAAUCG